UCAGCAGCAGGCUGGGUGGAAAUAAUGACUUUAAAGAGUCAUUGACUUCAGUGCAGGAGGUCACCAUCAAUCCAGCAGCUGCAGUGAGACCACAGCUGUUGCGCAGAAGUGCUAUUUCACGUUGCAGAUGCUGGUAACUGCUGGUCCUACUCUCUUUUAUGGUUAAGUAGUAGUAUAAACACAGAAUCAGGAACUACAGCUACCAUACAACUGUUAGAAACAGUGUGUGGUUUAUGGUCUGAGAGGCCCUGCGUAGUAUGUCUCCUUCUGCUACAAACUUCCACUUGGGAGCGCACAAAGCUGACCUGAGUAGGUUCUAGAGAAUUUCAGUAGCAGCACAGCAAGACACUGUAUAUGGCAACAAUUUUGAAUCCCGUGCAUAAUAGCCCUACCCUCUGAGACUCUGCCAGAAAUCAAUAUUCUGUAUUUUAAACUCAAAGACUAGGACAAUGCUCUGAAAAGUUACAAAAUACCAGAAUUGAAGUUACCUGUGACACGACAUCAGCCACAACCUUGAGAGCUAUCAUAGAUUAUUUUUUCCAAUGUGCUGGAAAGAACUGUUACAAGCAUUACGUUUAAUAAUAUCGUAAAAUAAGAAGAAGUAGUGAUAAUGUACAUAACUUUUAAAAGAUGUAGUCAAGCAUCAAUACUGCAGUGCAGCAAGUGUAAACAGUGUAUCUGCUGAAAUGCAGUCUUUUGCCUUCGGCAGAUGUGUUAUUUUUUCACUGUAGUGAGAUACCUAAAUAAGUAAAUGAAAUGUGUCCCUUUGGCUUUCAGAGUCUGAAGUAAAAAAAGGAUAUCACACCUACAGGGAAGAAGGAUAAACCAGCAAAGUAAACAUCAGCAUCCAAGUGCAACUGUGGGACAUCUCUUUAUUCUCUCCUACACCGAGGGAAAACUGAAUGAUUCACUUCACAGUUGAACAGUUUAUGAAUGGUAUUUGGAAAUGGAAGCAGCAACACAGAAGAAUCUCUCAGAUGAAGAGAUUGUGUAACUGUUGAAGAGACAUUGCAAUGUUCGUUUCAGACUCUAAAUAGCCUCUUCCCACAAAGCAAAAUUAAUCCCUGAAGUGGGUAGGAACAGAGGAAUGAACCUAAAAUGUAUUGGUUUAUUUCCCAUAGUAAGAAAUGGCUCCACAAAUAAUUUCAUUUACUUUCAUUAGUUCUA